UUGUUGGUAAGGUAAAAGCUCACCAAGGCUUCGAUCAGUAGCUGGUCUGAGAGGACGACCAGCCACACUGGGACUGAGACACGGCCCAGACUCCUACGGGAGGCAGCAGUGGGGAAUUUUGGACAAUGGGGGCAACCCUGAUCCAGCCAUGCCGCGUGAGUGAAGAAGGCCUUCGGGUUGUAAAGCUCUUUCAGCCGGAACGAAACGGUUACGGAUAACACCCGUGACUACUGACGGUACCGGAAGAAGAAGCACCGGCUAACCACGUGCCAGCAGCCGCGGUAAUACGUAGGGUGCGAGCGUUAAUCGGAAUUACUGGGCGUAAAGCGUGCGCAGGUGGUUUUGUAAGUCAGAUGUGAAAGCCCCGGGCUCAACCUGGGAACUGCGUUUGAAACUACAAGACUAGAGUGUGGCAGAGGGGGGUGGAAUUCCGCGUGUAGCAGUGAAAUGCGUAGAGAUGUGGAGGAACACCGAUGGCGAAGGCAGCCCCCUGGGUCAACACUGACGCUCAGGCACGAAAGCAUGGGGAGCAAACAGGAUUAGAUACCCUGGUAGUCCAUGCCCUAAACGAUGUCAACUAGUUGUCGGGCCUUUACGGGCUUGGUAACGUAGCUACGCGUGAAGUUGACCGCCUGGGGAGUACGAUCGCAAGAUUAAAACUCAAAUGAAUUGACGGGGACCCGCACAAGCGGUGGAUUAUGUGGAUUAAUUCGAUGCAACGCGAAAAACCUUACCUACCCUUGACAUGUAUCGAAGCCCGCAGAAAAGCGGGGGUGCCCGAAAGGGAACGAUAACACAGGUGCUGCAUGGCUGUCGUCAGCUCGUGUCGUGAGAUGUUGGGUUAAGUCCCGCAACGAGCGCAACCCUUGUCAUUAAUUGCCAUCAUUUAGUUGGGCACUUUAACGAGACUGCCGG
rnacentral:rRNA from 1 species